AUCACGGACUUACCCCUUUUCCUAUCAUUGGUUACGAACUGAAAAAUGCUCAUGAAAAGGACAAUAUCAUCAAUAUUUUCUCUGGAAUAGUGACAAUCAAUCGUAGUUCAAGAAAUAUCCGCUAGGGAGCGCAUUGGUUAGUUUUAAAUUGGAAGGAUUGUGCAUCUCUUUCUCUCUAAAACGGUACAGUCUUUAGUUAUGUUCACGAAUCGAGGAAGUUCGCACAGUUUCGCUUAAAGAGUAAGUAUACAAAACCAAAAUAUCAACUUGAAGAUAAAUUUUCAGAGCAGAAGAAAAAUGGUUUAUUGGGUUUACUGCAAAACAAAACCAUUCCAGGUUAUCAUCUUGGAUUCUAUGAAAAUCUUUGAAAAACUUUCCCGUUCCUUUUUAAUUUGUUUUUACUUAAUUGAUUGUUUGUAUUUAGUAGUAAAUGUGAUUUAGUUAAAUAAAGAGUUUUGCCUUCGGUACACUCAUUUCUAAGACUAAGUUUCAUUGUAAGGUUAAAUUUAUUUUAUAUAUUACCUACUAUUUGUUAUAAUAUUUCUGAGAAUAAAAAUUUGCUCAUAA
rnacentral:lncRNA from 1 species